rnacentral:rRNA from 1 species
UACAGAGGGUGCAAGCGUUAAUCGGAAUUACUGGGCGUAAAGGGCGCGUAGGCGGUGACAUGGGUGUGAUGUGAAAGCCCCGGGCUUAACCUGGGAAGUGCAUCGCAAACUAUGUGACUGGAGUAGAUGAGAGGGUGGCGGAAUUUCAGGUGUAGCGGUGAAAUGCGUAGAUAUCGGAAGGAACGUCGAUGGCGAAGGCAGCCACCUGGCAUCAUACUGACGCUGAGGCGAGAAAGCGUGGGGAGCGAACAGG